rnacentral:rRNA from 1 species
UACAUGGGGUGCAAACGUUGCUCGGAAUUAUUGGGCGUAAAGCGCGCGUAGGCGGUUACUCAAGUCGGAUGUGAAAGCCCUCGGCUUAACUGAGGAAGUGCACCCGAAACUGAGUAGCUAGAGUACUAAAGAGGGUCGCGGAAUUCCCGGUGUAGAGGUGAAAUUCGUAGAUAUCAGGAGGAACACCGGUGGCGAAGGCGGCUUUCUGGACGACAACUGACGCUGAGACGCGAAAGCGUGGGGAGCAAACAGG